UGCACGCCUGUAAUCCCAGCUACUCAGGAGGCUGAGGCGGGAGAAUCCCUUGAACCCAGGAGGCGGAGGUUGCGGUGAGCCGAGGUCGAGCCACUGCACUCCAGCCUGGGUGACAGAGCUAGACUCUGUCUCAAAACCAAAAAACAAAACAAAACAAAACAAACAAACAAAAAACAUAAAAAAGGCAGGGGAGGGGAAGAUGUCCAGUAUGAAACUGGGGGGGAUGUUAAUGAAUUCUGUUAGAAUGGGGAAUCUGGCAUAGGUAAAAACUUAAACCUAUGCUGUCUAAUACAAUUGUUGCUUGCCACAUGGAGUUAAGUUUAAAUUAUUCAAAUGAAAUGUAACUUAAAAAUUCAGUUCUGUCACAUGAGACACAUUUCAAGUGCUCAAUAGCCACAUGCAGCUAGUGGCUAUUAUAUUGGACCACACAGGUGUAGAAUAUUCUCAUCAUUGCAGAAAAUGCUUUCAGACAGGGCUGACAUAGAAGAUGCAUCAGAGAAGAGGAGGGGGAUAGACGGGUGGGUAGAUGAGAGGGGCACAUAAGGUAAUUGCAACAGAAUGAAUGUUUAUGUCUCCCCCAAAUUCAUAUGUUAAAAUCCUAACCCUUAAUGUGAUGGCAUUAGCAGGUGGGGCCUUGGGGAAGUGAUUAGAUUGUGAGGGUAGAGGCCUCAUGAGUGAGAUUAGUGCCCUUAUAAAAGGGACCCCAGACAGCUCCCUUGUCCCUUUUGCUAUGUGAAGACAUGAUAAGAAAACGGUCCUCUAAGAACGAGGAAGUGGGUGCUCACCAGGCUCUGAUUCUGCCUGGUGCCUUGAUCUGGGAAUUACCAGCCUACAGAUCUGUGAGAAAUAAAUGAUUUUUGUUUAAGCUACCCAGACUAUCGUAUUUUUGUUACAGCAGCCUAAACAGAAAAAAAUAGAAACGUUUACCAGGAAAAGUAUAUGCUAGAUGGAUAAGGGGAAACAAGAGAGACAGGACACACGGACGUGAUCCAGGGAAAGGUCUUGAAUUGGGUUAGAGCUUGGAUUCAAGGCAUUGGCUGGCUGCGAUAAAACCUUUGCGCAUGUUUUUUUAAAUGGUGUUCCUCUGGGCAGAAGCAUCCUGUGGUUUUGGCUAGUAGACAGUUCUUUGUGCAAAGAAAAAAGUGUACUUUCCUCAAAACGAUGGAGAUGGUUAAAAGAUCAGUGGUUGUCAGGGCCUGGAGAAGGCAGGGAAGAAAAGAAGGAUGAACAGAUGGAGCACAGCAGAGUUUUAGCAAUAGCAAUGAAGCUAUUGUAAGAUACUAUAACGGUGCAUAUAUGUCAUCACACGUUUGUCAAAACCCAUAGAAUGCACAACACGAAGAGUAUACAUAGUAUACAUAGUAAUGUAUACCAUGAACUUUGGUUCAUACUAAUCUAUUAAUAUUGAUUCAUCAAUUGCAACAAAUGUACCACACUAACAUAAGAUGUUACUAACAGGGGAGACUGGGAGUGGGGUGGACAGGGUGGGCAGGGGUAUAUGAAGCUCUCUGUACUUUGUGCUCUGGCUUUUUAUAAACCUAAAACUGCUCUAAGAAAUAAGGUCUAGUAAUGAAAAAUAAAAAGGGAAGCUAUUUAACUAUUUCUCAUAAAAUAUUUUCAGGCACUCUAAAAGUCUUCAUGUUCACAUACACAAUGACAUGACAAUAAAACACACUAAUCUGGUUUUAGCUGAUAAUCUAAUGUAGUUAUAUGUGAUUCUAUCAAUAUCUGACAUGGAAAAAAAGCGAAACAAUGUACCUUCCUCUAGGUUUCCACAGAGCAGCUUCAGGCAUUCAUCUUGGUGAGCAGUGUGCAAGCUGGAUUUUCCUAACCACUUGCUCUCUUCCUCAGGUGUCUGUGCGGUAGAGUUUCCAGUUUUUCUGCUCUGUUUUUCCCCCAUCUUUGUGGUUUUAUCUACUUUUGGUCUUUGAUAAUGGUGAUGUACAGAUGGGUUUUUGGUGUGGAUGUCCUUUCUGUUUGUUAGUUUUCCUUCUAACAGACAGGACCCUCAGUUCCAUGAAUGCGGGGCAGGAUGACAGGAUGGAGUCUGGGACUUGCCUACAGUCCACAGAUGGGGGGUUGGGGAUUGAAACAAGACCACAGCUCAACUCACGUGACGGGAAGGGGAGCAUUUACUUGGGCAAUGGGAGUGUCUCAUAUUUGACAUUGCCUUAUAUUAGGGCAUAUACUGUAGAUGCAUAAACAAUGGUUUAGCUCCAUAAAGUCUUCAGACUGCUAUCUUAUUUAUUCUGUUAUUGUAGAGUUCCAUAUUUUAUGAGGACACUGCCUUCCGUAGAUGGCUCUCUGUUCUGAGAGUCUAGCUUAGAGCUAUUUGGAAACAAUCUUAUGAGGAUGAACUAGGGACAAAGAGGUCACCUUAGGCAGGUCUUAAUUUGUAAUUUUAUUCAAGGGAGGAAGUACAUGCUAAGAAAUUGUUGCUGAAAACUGUGUCUAAUUGGUAAUAAUGAGAAAAGGGUGGGAAAGGAUGGAGAGUUUAUUUUCCAGACCAGUAAAUUUGCCUUUCUUUUCUUUCUUAUUUUAUUUUUUAUUUCUCAUUUUUAUUUUUAUUUUUUCCUGCCAUCUCAUGUUGAAUUGUAAUCCUCAAUGUUGGUGGAGGAACCUGGUGGGAGGUGAUUGAAUCAUGGGGGUGGAUUUCUUUCUUGUUGUGCCAGAUAUUUCCUGUACAUUUUCUCCCCCAAUUUCCCCAACUUACACUCCCUGGGUUCAGAUCACAGCUCCAGCACUUGUUAGCGGUGUGGCCUUUUAGGCCAGUUUAACACUCCAUCUGUGCCUCGGUUUCCUCAGGUAUAAAAUGAGAAUAAUGCUAUGUCCUCUUUGUAGUGUGAUGAGGUAUAAA
rnacentral:lncRNA from 1 species